AGCUUAGGUAUCAACCAGGUUUAUUAUUCCUUUUUCUAAACUGGUAUAUCAUCAUCCAGUAGAAAUUUGGGACUACAACCCAUAUAUUCCAUUGAACAUUAAAGAAACAACAAAUUAACUUUCCCAAAGAUAUGCCUUCCCUGGCGUGAAAUUCUCUCUCUUUUACAAUGAAGUUUUGAUGGCUGCCUAGUUUUUUUAUAUUUUGUUUUGACAUUUCCCCCAUAGGUUAAUGAAUGAUUCUACAACUGUUGUGAACUAGACAAACAAUAAAAAUCUGUGAGCUGCUUGGACCACAGUGGCCACAGUAGCUAUGUAAUGAUUUCACACAGGAAGGAUAUGGUGUCCUGGUUUCUGCCCAACAGGAUGACCCAUUUUAGCUUACAUCCCUACCCGGGAAUUCUUUUUCCUAUUCUAAAGUGAUAAUAUAAAACAUGCUUCAUCUCCCAAUGCAGAACUUUGAACACAGAUGCAAGAGGUAAUAAUAGUUCUUUAUUCAAACAAUAUAUUUUCCCUCAUCACAAAAAAAUAAUGGUCGAGAUUCUAAUGCAACUAACAUGAGAACAGAAAACAAAGUUCAAAUAUCCUCCUGCUCACAGGGCAAGUGAGUUUGGUUGACUUCUGUCAGUGCCUUCAAUAAAUGUAGAAGAGCCAGUUGGAAAAGGCAACUUACUCACCUACCUUCGCUUCUGGGGAAAGUUCUUUGUUCAUGUCACGUGGGUUUUACACUAACCCCUCGGGGAUAUAUGAGUUUGUGUGCAGUCCCUUUAUUUACUAAGCAUUCAUUAAACUGAUUACCGAGGGCAUGCAUUUUAGUAUUUCAAGUCUGAGACUUAUUAUUUUUUCCAACUCUGCAUUGCUAUUUUUAUGAAGCCACAAAAGCAUACCUCUCUCAAAGGAGAGUUAAUGGACUAGUUUUGCCUGUUUUCUAGUUCAGAAGGCUAUUCCCCAUGGGGGAAAGUCAUAGUUUCAUUAACCAUUUCUGGGGUACUUUCCUGCUUUAAAAUGCUGCCUUGGGCUUUUAGUAGGUGUCUGUGAAGGAAAGUGACAGAGGAUUUGAUGCCAUAGGUCUGACCUUCACUUCGUGGAUGUAGCUGCUGCUCAUUAUAGAAUAUCUUUGCGCACUAGGGUGGAGGAAUUUUUCUCCCUAAGGGCUCUCAUGCAGGGGUAAAAACAGGUCUUGAUUUUUUUUUUUUUUUUACCAUUUUUAUUAAACUAGCAGUUUGAUAUCUGGAAGGAGACUUUGGCAAGCUAAUGAAUGAUGUGUUAUAAUUACGUUGAAACCCCUGGUCCUGUUACCUUUUCAUUAGUCACCCUGUUAGCACAGAACUCGUCAAAGUUGAGAUGCAGAUGAUAUGGAAUAGGCUGGUUCAGAGUCUGGGUUAGUCAAAAAUCUUAUCAGCCACUGGAAGAAUGCAUUUGGAAUGGCCAAAAAAAGAGAAGAUCCACCUACCGAGCAAGUUAACACAGAUCUUGAAGAGAUUUUAAGAAAAACAGAUGUCAGAAUUCUCAAAAGCAUUGGGAUAUUCAGCACUAUUUUUUCCCCCAGAAAUAAGUGGCAGCAACCUUCAGAAUGUUGGAAGCACCACACGCGUCACCACACACGGAAAACUAAGGAAUAAAGGGGAGAUACAAUCAUCAUCCCCUGAAGACUGAGGGGACUUCUGGGGAGAUGUGCUGAUUGCCUUGUGCUUUGAGCAUCACGCGAGGAUAUUGUCCAUGGAAAGAACCGUUUCUGCCAACACAAUCAAGUGCUUGUGGACCCUACUGAAUCCUUUGUUCCUCUUUUAAGACAGCUGUUCCAAAUCGUCUCCUCGGAUGGGAUUUAUGGCUUGUUAUGGAAGCCCCUUUCCGACACUCAUCACUGCCUCUGCCGCGGCGUGGGAAAGGGAAUGCAGCCUAAAGAAUCGAUAGAAUAAGUUAUCACAUUUUAAUUAGUACUUAUUUACUUCCUGCGGGAAAUGAUUAAAAUUUAUUGACAAAGACUCAGAGUAAUUAGAUGCUGUUAAGAAAACAUCAGAGACGACUUGGAAAUGAUGAUCAUGCAUCAGUAAACCACAAAAGAGGAUUCAAAGUGAAGAAUUUUGAACUGGUAAAGCCACAUGAAGGAAGGAGCCUAGAUCCCUUCAGGGCAUUUCUUAGAGAAAGCCGCCCAAGAGAACUGCCUCACUAGGAACACCACCAUCAGCCACUGUGUGUAAGAGAAAGAAAUGCACAUUGUGUGAAGCCGUAAAAUUUAGGAGCUUUUUGUUAGAGCAGCAAACUUUAAUAUCCUAACUAAUAUGUAAAAAAGGAAUCAUGAUUUUUAUGUUAUUUUAAUCUUGGUCUCCUUGCCAGUACAUCUUUCUUUAUCUUUGAUUUGAUUGAAACCUUUAGUCUCAGGAUCUUUCUCUAUUGGUCCAGUCUCUAAGCAUCUACCAUACUUCUCUUUAUUUUCUAAAAUAGUCUAGCUGCUAUGGUUUGCAACUUUAAAGCAUUCUCAUCAUCACCCUCAAAAUGUUAAACCUGAGUUUUUAAAAAAUGCUUCCACUACAUCAGUCUUGAGUCUUGAAUGAUGUAACUUGCUGCUUUCUUUGUUUCUGCUUCUGGGCCACUUAUCCUAAAACUAUGCAGAUCGCAGUCUAUAAACCUCAGUUGGGUCUCAUGAUAGUGGGUAUUGUUUAACAUUCCUCAAUUGCUUUCACCCCAUCAAUGUUUAACUGUCAUCCUCACCUGUCAGAUCACUUUUUCAAACAUUUACCAGUAUUUUUAAUCAAGUUAUUUUCUACUCCCUCCCCUCAUUUUAAGUCAAAAUCUUCUUCCUCUUUUCUAGGAAAUACUGAUAAUGUUAAAGAAAGGUAUUCCCAACUUCUGACCAUCCUAUCUUUAAACUCACUUUUUACCAAAUUACUUUCCCUCCACUCAGCGAAAGAGGGCCUCUAUACCUUGGCACUAAAUGUCAUCUCUUUCCCUGGUUCUUGUACUUUCUAAUGAAACUUACUCUCACCUUUUCAUUUGUUAUUUUCUAUUCAUUGUCUCUUUUCUCUCCAACUUCCUUACAGUAAUUUUUAGUGCUGCUUUUAAAUAUUCCCAGCUCUCCACCCUGAGGUUAAAUAAUAGGAUUAUACUUUGUGGCCAUUGGUGAUUUGGUGGGGCCAGGUGACUAGUUACACUAGUUACAAGCAGAAGACAUUGCUUGAUGGGCAGUUUAUUGCCAGAGCUCUAUCUUUUUUUUUUUUGAUACACAGCUAGAAAUGUUUGAGAAGGUUGUUGCUACAUCAUUCUGAGUGAGAGAGGCCAAGAUGAUGACUAUGUGAACAAGAAACAUCCUUGUGGUUCUAAGCCUCUGAGAACUUGAGGUUGUAUUAUUGCAGCACAGCCUAGCCCAGCCCAGCACAGUUUUUAAACAACCCUUCCUCGGCCUAUAUAUACCCUCUUCAAGCUACCACUCCAUCUCCUUUGU